rnacentral:rRNA from 1 species
GCUGGAUCAGUGGCGAACGGGUGAGUAACACGUGGGCAACCUGCCCUUCACUUCGGGAUAACUCCGGGAAACCGGGGCUAAUACCGAAUACGACCUUUGCAGGCAUCUGCGGAGGUGGAAAGUUUUUCGGUGAAGGAUGGGCCCGCGGCCUAUCAGCUUGUUGGUGAGGUAGUGGCUCACCAAGGCGACGACGGGUAGCCGGCCUGAGAGGGCGACCGGCCACACUGGGACUGAGACACGGCCCAGACUCC